UGUGAUUUUCUAACCAUGUAUUUAUACAAAUGGCAUGGAUUUGGGCUUCAUACAAGGCAACUGUUUGUACUACAUGGUUUAGAAGCCGCAUUGCAGAGUAAAUAAAACCCAGUCCGCAAUCGCUAGAAGGGUCCAGCCCAAAACUCACUUGUAUAAAUACAUGGUUAGAAAAUCACAGUAAAAUGUGAAGGCAAAUUUCAUCAUAAUGAGGAUAAGAGAACAAAGAAGUAAAACGUAGUCCACUAAUCCAAAUUAGCACAAUUGUUCCUAAGUUAACCAGAUGGAAAAUAUCUAAAGUACAUCUUCAUGCCACAGGGCAUUAGCCAGUCAGGGGUCUCUUUAGACCGCCAAUAAUCAUUUCUAAAUC
rnacentral:misc_RNA from 1 species